rnacentral:rRNA from 1 species
UACGGAGGGUGCAAGCGUUACUCGGAAUCACUGGGCGUAAAGCGCGCGCAGGCGGCCUUUUAAGUUGGAUGUGAAAGCCUAUGGCUCAACCAUAGAACUGCAUCCAAAACUAUUAGGCUAGAGUCUGGGAGGGGAAGAUGGAAUUAGUUGUGUAGGGGUAAAAUCCGUAGAGAUAACUAGGAAUACCAAAAGCGAAGGCGAUCUUCUGGAACAGUACUGACGCUGAGGCGCGAAAGCGUGGGGAGCAAACAGGAUUAGAUACCCUGGUAGUCCACGCCCUAAACGAUGAAUGUUAGUCGUCGGAGGCCUAGUGUCUUCGGUGAUGCAGCUAACGCAUUAAACAUUCCGCCUGGGGAGUACGGUCGCAAGAUUAAAACUCAAAGGAAUAGACGGGGACCCGCACAAGUGGUGGAGCAUGUGGUUUAAUUCGAAGAUACGCGAAGAACCUUACCUGGCCUUGACAUUGAGAGAAUCCUGUAGAGAUACGGGAGUGCCUUCGGGAGCUCGAAAACAGGUGCUGCACGGCUGUCGUCAGCUCGUGUCGUGAGAUGUUGGGUUAAGUCCCGCAACGAGCGCAACCCUCGUCACUAGUUACUAACGGUUCGGCCGAGGACUCUAGUGAGACUGCCUUCGCAAGGAGGAGGAAGGUGAGGACGACGUCAAGUCAUCAUGGCCCUUACGGCCAGGGCAACACACGUGCUACAAUGGGUAGGACAAUGAGACGCGAUACCGCGAGGUGGAGCAAAUCUAUAAACCUACUCUCAGUUCGGAUUGUAGUCUGCAACUCGACUACAUGAAGCUGGAAUCACUAGUAAUCGUAGAUCAGCUAUGCUACGGUGAAUACGUUCCCGGGUC